rnacentral:rRNA from 1 species
CCUACGGGAGGCUGCAGUGGGGAAUAUUGCACAAUGGGGGAAACCCUGAUGCAGCGACGCCGCGUGAGUGAAGAAGUAUCUCCGUACGUAAAGCUCCAUCAGCAGGGAAGAAAAUGACGGUACCUGACUAACAAGCCCCGGCUAACUACGUGCCAGCAGCCGCGGUUAUACGUAGGGGGCAAGCGUUAUCCGGAUUUACUGGGUGUAAAGGGGGCGUAGACGGCAGCACAAGUCUGGAGGGAAAUCCCGGGGCUUAACCCCGGGACUGCUUUUGAAACUGGGCGGCUGGAGUGCGGGAGGGGUACGCGGAAUUCCUGGUGUAGCGGUGAAAUGCGUAGAUAGUAGGAGGAACACCGGUGGCGAAGGCGGCGUACUGGACUGUAACUGACGUUGAGGCACGAAAGCGUGGGGAGCAAACAGGAUUAGAUACCCGAGUAGUC